rnacentral:lncRNA from 1 species
UGUUUUGAAGAUAUUCAAUCAAGUGAAAAAAAAAGAACAUGCCAUCAUCACGUUUCUAUGUGGCAGGAAUGUUAUUGUUCUUAAUGAUGCUGAGCUUUGAUAUGAAAACUACAGAAGGUAGACGAUGUACCAGAAUUUGCGAGAAAGGGAGAUGCAGACCCGUAUGCUCUCGUUCUAUGGAUUUUGUAGAUGAAGCACCCGUGGAUGAGACAGAAAUACUUAGAAAUCUGGGUUAUCAGUGACAAGAGCAUCGACCGAACCUGAUAUAAUCUGAAGUAAGGAUCAUCAGAUGUAAUUUUUCCUCACUGACUGGUUGACAUAAUGGAUUGAUUCAGCAGAAAACGCUUCAAAAAUUGGUCAUUUAUGUUUUAAUCUCAUUACCUUUUGUUACAAACUUAUUUUUGCAUGACUUAUUUAAACAAUAUAUCGUACAAAUCUGUCAGUUUCCAUUACAGUAAACUACUCUUUUAAAAAUAUUUUUGCAUGAACAAAAAGGAAAUUAGAUUUAGAAUAUUUAUAUUCGUUUUUGAACUCGUAAAACUCUAUGGUAACAGCUUAAAUCUUCUUACAUUCAUUUAAUAUUUCUGUAUAACUAGCAGUAGAUUUAGACCAUUAAAAUAGUAGUAUACAACACUUACAUACUUAUUGUAAGAAUGUAGAAGUUAUGUGCUUAAACUUUUGAUGUAUUUUCGAAUUUAUGUAUAAGCUGCUUAACGUGCAAAUAAACUAGAGUAACAUCAAA